rnacentral:rRNA from 1 species
AGCGAACGCUGGCGGCAGGCCUAACACAUGCAAGUCGAGCGCCCAGCAAUGGGAGCGGCAGACGGGAUAGUAACACGUGGGAACGUACCUUUCAGUUCGGAACAACCAAGGGAAACUUUGGCUAAUACCGAAUACGCCCGUAAGGGGAAAGAUUUAUCGCUGAAAGAUCGGCCCGCGUCUGAUUAGCUAGUUGGUGAGGUAAUGGCUCACCAAGGCGACGAUCAGUAGCUGGUCUGAGAGGAUGAUCAGCAUCACUGGGACUGAGACACGGCCCAGACUCCUACGGGAGGCAGCAGUGGGGAAUAUUGGACAAUGGGCGCAAGCCUGAUCCAGCCAUGCCGCGUGAGUGAUGAAGGCCUUAGGGUUGUAAAGCUCUUUCGUCAGGGAAGAUAAUGACGGUAUCUGAAGAAGAAGCCCCGGCUAACUUCGUGCCAGCCGCCGCGGUAAUAC